rnacentral:snoRNA from 1 species
ACUUCAUGAUUUGGACAUUGAGCUAGAUUACCAUUAAACCUCUCCCAAGCUUCAAACAAUGGCUUUCCAUUCAUUUGUCAAAAAUUCAUAACCUUGUCCCAUUUUUGAAGU